UGGGCAACCUGCCCUCAGCUCUGGGAUAACCCCGGGAAACCGGGGCUAAUACCGGAUACGACCUCCGCGGGCAUCUGCGGAGGUGGAAAGGUUUUCCGGCUGAGGAUGGGCCCGCGGCCUAUCAGCUAGUUGGUGGGGUGAUGGCCCACCAAGGCGACGACGGGUAGCCGGCCUGAGAGGGCGACCGGCCACACUGGGACUGAGACACGGCCCAGACUCCGUACGGGAGGCA
rnacentral:rRNA from 1 species